rnacentral:tRNA from 1 species
AAGUAUAAAUUAAAUAAAAGCUUCUAGCUUUUAAAUUGUAAUUAAUAUUACUAUACUUU